rnacentral:rRNA from 1 species
GCACAAGCGGUGGAGCAUGUGGCUUAAUUCGACGCAACGCGAAGAACCUUACCAAGGCUUGACAUAUACCGAAAACUCAUAGAGAUAUGGGGUCCGCAAGGGCGGUAUACAGGUGGUGCAUGGUUGUCGUCAGCUCGUGUCGUGAGAUGUUGGGUUAAGUCCCGCAACGAGCGCAACCCUUAUCAACAGUUGCCAUCAUUAAGUUGGGAACUCUGUUGAGACUGCCGUUGAUAAAACGGAGGAAGGUGGGGAUGAUGUCAAGUCAUCAUGGCCUUUAUGCUUAGGGCUACACACGUGCUACAAUGGUCGGUACAAAGCGUCGCAAUCCCGUAAGGGGGAGCUAAUCGCAAAAACCGAUCUCAGUUCGGAUUGAAGUCUGCAACUCGACUUCAUGAAGUUGGAAUCGCUAGUAAUCGCGGAUCAGAACGCCGCGGUGAAUACGUUCCCGGGC